CACUGACACUCCUACGGGAGGCAGCAGUGGGGAAUAUUGCACAAUGGGCGCAAGCCUGAUGCAGCCAUGCCGCGUGUGUGAAGAAGGCCUUCGGGUUGUAAAGCACUUUCAGCAGUGAGGAAGGCGGAGUCGUUAAUAGCGGCCUCGUUUGACGUUAGCUGCAGAAGAAGCACCGGCUAACUCCGUGCCAGCAGCCGCGGUAAUACGGAGGGUGCGAGCGUUAAUCGGAAUUACUGGGCGUAAAGCGCAUGCAGGUGGUUUGUUAAGUCAGAUGUGAAAGCCCGGGGCUCAACCUCGGAAUAGCAUUUGAAACUGGCAGACUAGAGUACUGUAGAGGGGGUAGAAUUUCAGGUGUAGCGGUGAAAAUGCGUAGAGAUCUGAAGGAAUACCGGUGGCGAAGGCGGCCCCCUGGACAGAUACUGACACUCAGAUGCGAAAGCGUGGGGAGCAAACAGGAUUAGAUACCCUGGUAG
rnacentral:rRNA from 1 species